rnacentral:rRNA from 1 species
GAUGAACGCUGGCGGCGUGCUUAACACAUGCAAGUCGAGCGGGCAAUUUAUCUAGCACUGAUUACUUCAAAUGGAAAUCAUAAGUGUAAUCAUGAAUUUCUACCUUUAAUAAAGAAAAAAGAAAUUCAUGUACGCAAAUAGUGAUAACACAUUUUAGUGAAGUGAUGAGUGCUGGAUAAAUUGCUAGCGGCGGACGGGUGCGUAACACGUGGGUAACCUGCCCCUAUCACUGGGAUAACACACUGAAAAGUGUGCUAAUACCAGAUAACAUAAGCUUUUGGCAUCAUUAGCUUAUCAAAGAAUUUCGGAUAGGGAUGGGCCCGCGUCUGAUUAGCUAGUUGGUGAGGUAACGGCUCACCAAGGCAACGAUCAGUAGCCGACCUGAGAGGGUGGAUCGGCCACACUGGAACUGAGACACGGUCCAGACUCCUACGGGA